rnacentral:tRNA from 1 species
GUUGUGGCUCAGUGGUAGAGCUCUUGCCUAGCAUGUGCAAAGCCCUAGGUUUGAUCCUCAGCAUGACA